rnacentral:rRNA from 1 species
UACGUAGGGGGCAAGCGUUGUCCGGAUUUAUUGGGCGUAAAGAGCGUGUAGGCGGUUAGGUAGGUCCGUUCUGAAAACUUGAGGCUCAACCUCGAGACGCGGAUGGAAACCAUCUAACUAGAGUCCGGAAGAGGAGAGUGGAAUUCCUGGUGUAGCGGUGAAAUGCGCAGAUAUCAGGAAGAACACCCGUGGCUAAGGCGGCUCUCUAGUACGGUACUGACGCUGAGACGCGAAAGCGUGGGGAGCGAACAGG